CCCUUAGAUGUUCUGGGCCGCACGCGCGCUACACUGAUGAAUUCAACGAGCUCCUAACCUAGGCCGAAGGGUCCGGGUAAUCUUUGAAAUUUCAUCGUGAUGGGGAUAGAUUAUUGCAAUUAUUAAUCUUCAACGAGGAAUUCCUAGUAAGCGCGAGUCAUCAGCUCGCGUUGAUUACGUCCCUGCCCUUUGUACACACCGCCCGUCGCUCCUACCGAUUGAAUGGUCCGGUGAAAUGUUCGGAUCGCGGCAAAUCGGACGGGUAACCGUCAGGUUCGCUGCGAGAAGUUCAUUAAACCUUAUCAUUUGGAGGAAGGAGAAGUCGUAACA
rnacentral:rRNA from 1 species